UACGUAGGAUCCGAGCGUUAUCCGGAUUUAUUGGGUUUAAAGGGAGCGUAGGCGGAAGCUUAAGUCAGUUGUGAAAGUUUGCGGCUCAACCGUAAAAUUGCAGUUGAUACUGGGUUUCUUGAGUGCAGUAGAGGUAGGCGGAAUUCGUGGUGUAGCGGUGAAAUGCUUAGAUAUCACGAAGAACUCCGAUUGCGAAGGCAGCAUGCCGGCUCCACACUGACGCUGAGGCACGAAAGCGUGGGUAUCGAACAGG
rnacentral:rRNA from 1 species